AAACACAGCGAAAUUGAAAUGUUUCCACUGAGUGAUGGAAUGCAAAUGCUGGGUUUUGUCUUUUUGCGAUAACUGUCAUUCCAGC